rnacentral:rRNA from 1 species
CAGCCGCCACGGGAAUACGGAGGGAGCUAGCGUUGUUCGGAAUUACUGGGCGUAAAGCGCGCGUAGGCGGUUACUCAAGUCAGAGGUGAAAGCCCGGGGCUCAACCCCGGAACUGCCUUUGAAACUAGGUGACUAGAAUCUUGGAGAGGUCAGUGGAAUUCCGAGUGUAGAGGUGAAAUUCGUAGAUAUUCGGAAGAACACCAGUGGCGAAGGCGACUGACUGGACAAGUAUUGACGCUGAGGUGCGAAAGCGUGGGGAGCAAACAGGAUUAGAUACCCGCGUAGUCCCUGUCUCUUAUAC